AUUUAAAUAGCUUAAAUUGUAAAGUAUAACAUUGAAGAUGUUAUGAUGAUAAAUAUUAUCUUUAAAUA
rnacentral:tRNA from 1 species